rnacentral:lncRNA from 1 species
GGCCUGCAUUUAUUGAGGGUGUACUACGUGCUAGGUCCUGAAUGGACACCAUCUCAAGACCACCUUUGAGGGCAUAAUGACUGACUUCUCACUUUGGAGCCGAGGUCAAGGAGGUUGUGGCAACUGAGGAAUUUGCCUCCAGGGGACAGACUCAAGCAUAGAGUUUCCACCAAAGCAGCACCGCGGAGACCCCGCCCUUCCCCCAAAUGCAAUCCAGAAAAUUCUCCUCCACCAAAUAAUAAUUGUCGCAUCCUCAAGGUAUAUACUUUUAUACCAAGUAGUCCUUUGUUUCUCCCCAUAUGUCUUCCACCUGUUUUCUUAUGUUUCUAUGCUGCUGACUCUGUGCUGUGGGCAAUAUUGAAAACGCAUAUGUCACAAUCCCUGCCCUCAAGGAACUUAACCAGACAAUUGGGAAUUGACACCAAAAAAAUGAUAGAGAACCACAAAGAUGGCACAGCCUCAAGACCUAAAUUUCAGACUAUAGUUUGAAAUCCUUUAGUGGAUGGGCUGUAAAAUGAGUUUAAGGGAUCACAAUUGGCAUUAAAAAAAAAGGAAAUAACUCAAACAGCAAAGAUUUGAGUGUCUAUGACAUAGUACAAGUAAGCAUAUUUUUAGUAAAAGUUUGGUUCUGUUUUACAUAGAAAUAUCAUGUUUCUUACCAUAGGUCCUGGUCACAUGUGUUUGAACACUUCUGACAAGCCAGGUGUGAGGUGAGUAUGGUCUGGUGUAUGAAAGAAUGCCAAGGAGAUACAAUCGUUCCUAACUUGUGUUUGAGUCAUGGACCCUGAGGACCAUUUGAGAAUGAUUGCAAGUCCCUCUAGAAAGCAUACAUAUGGCUGACAUUUUGCCUAUGAUCUCAGUAGUUCAUGGACUUUACAACCCGUUCACAGACCUUGGUUAGAUCCCUUU